AGUUCGAGCGGUAACAUGUUUCUCACCUUGGUCCUAACUUUUUAGUUGGUGCCGAAGUGAGAAAUGAUGACGAGCGGCGAACGGCUGAGUAACACGUGGGAACAUGCCCCAAAGUGAGGAAUAACUGCCCGAAAGGGUAGCUAAUGCCGCAUAUGAUCUUCGGAUUAAAGGAUUUAUCCGCUUUGGGAGUGGCCCGCGCACGAUUAGAUAGUUGGUAAGGUAAUGGCUUACCAAGUCUACGAUCGUUAGCUGGUCUGAGAGGAUGACCAGCCAGACUGGAACUGAGACACGGUCCAGACUCCUACGGGAGGCAGCAGUGAGGAAUCUUCCACAAUGGGCGAAAGCCUGAUGGAGCAACGCCGCGUGCAGGAUGAAGGCCCUCGGGUCGUAAACUGCUUUUAUAAGUGAAGAAUAUGACGGUAACUUAUGAAUAAGCACCGGCUAACUACGUGCCAGCAGCCGCGGUCAUACGUAGGGUGCAAGCAUUAUCCGGAGUGACUGGGCGUAAAGAGUUGCGUAGGUGGACAAGUAAGCGAAGAGUGAAAGCCAACGGCUCAACCGUUUGGAUUAUUAUUCGUACUGCUUGUCUCGAGAAUGGUAGAGGUAACUGGAAUUUCUAGUGUAGGAGUGAAAUCCGUAGAUAUUAGAAGGAACACCAAUGGCGUAGGCAGGUUACUGGACCAUUUCUGACACUGAGGCACGAAAGCGUGGGGAGCGAACCGGAUUAGAUACCCGGGUAGUCCACGCCGUAAACUAUGGAUACUAGCUGUUGGGGGUAUCGACCCCCCCAGUAGCGAAGCUAACGCGUUAAGUAUCCCGCCUGUGGAGUACGGUCGCAAGACUAAAACAUAAAGGAAUUGACGGGGAGCCGCACAAGCGGUGGAUUAUGUUCUUUAAUUCGAUGAUAACCGAAGAACCUUACCAGGGAUUGACAUCCCAAGAAUUUUGUCGAAAGACGAGAGUGCUUUAUUGAACUUGGUGACAGGUGAUGCAUGGCCGUCGUCAGCUCGUGUCGUGAGAUGUUUGGUUAAGUCCAUCAACGAGCGCAACCCUUGUGAUUAGUUGUAUUUUUCUAAUCAGACUGCCCCGGCAACGGGGAGGAAGGAGGGGAUGAUGUCAGGUCAGUAUUUCCCUUACACCCUGGGCUAGAAACGUAAUACAAUGGCCAGUACAAUGCGCAGCGAAGCCGCGAGGUGAAGCAAAUCGCAUCAAAAUCUGGUCCCAGUUCGGAUUGGAGGCUGAAACUCGCCUCCAUGAAGU
rnacentral:rRNA from 1 species